GCACUGCUGACGAGUCCCAAAUAGGACGAAUCAGAUUUCCAGUGC
rnacentral:hammerhead_ribozyme from 1 species